GCGUCUAGUGGUUGCUGUGAGACAUGCAGUUUGAGAGUGUGUGUUACCACAAGAAAGCCUUAAACCUGCUCAAUCUUACCCCUGUUGCUCUGGGCACAUUCUCGACACCGGAGAACCCAGGCGAGCUUUGCGACCGAUGUGGCCGGAGUUGACCAAGGUGUGGUCCGAGUUCCAGUUGAAGGAGAGGCAGUGUCUAGUGGUUGCUGUGAGACAUGCAGUUUGAGAGUGUGUGUUACCACAAGAAAGCCUUAAACCUGCUCAAUCUUACCCCUGUUGCUCUGGGCAUAGCCUCGACACCGGAGAACCCAGGCGAGCUCUGCGACCGAUGUGGCCGGAGUUGACCAAGGUGUGGUCCGAGUUCCAGUUGAAGGAGAGGCAGUGUCUAGCGGUUGCUGUGAGACAUGCAGUUUGAGAGUGUGUGUUACCACAAGAAAGCCUUAAACCUGCUCAAUCUUACCCCUGUUGCUCUGGGCAUAGCCUCGACACCGGAGAACCCAGGCGAGCUCUGCGACCGAUGUGGCCGGAGUUGACCAAGGUGUGGUCCGAGUUCCAGUUGAAGGAGAGGCAGUGUCUAGCGGUUGCUGUGAGACAUGCAGUUUGAGAGUGUGUGUUACCACAAGAAAGCCUUAAACCUGCUCAAUCUUACCCCUGUUGCUCUGGGCACAUUCUCGACACCGGAGAACCCAGGCGAGCUUUGCGACCGAUGUGGCCGGAGUUGACCAAGGUGUGGUCCGAGUUCCAGUUGAAGGAGAGGCAGUGUCUAGUGGUUGCUGUGAGACAUGCAGUUUGAGAGUGUGUGUUACCACAAGAAAGCCUUAAACCUGCUCAAUCUUACCCCUGUUGCUCUGGGCAUAGCCUCGACACCGGAGAACCCAGGCGAGCUCUGCGACCGAUGUGGCCGGAGUUGACCAAGGUGUGGUCCGAGUUCCAGUUGAAGGAGAGGCAGUGUCUAGCGGUUGCUGUGAGACAUGCAGUUUGAGAGUGUGUGUUACCACAAGAAAGCCUUAAACCUGCUCAAUCUUACCCCUGUUGCUCUGGGCAUAGCCUCGACACCGGAGAACCCAGGCGAGCUCUGCGACCGAUGUGGCCGGAGUUGACCAAGGUGUGGUCCGAGUUCCAGUUGAAGGAGAGGCAGUGUCUAGCGGUUGCUGUGAGACAUGCAGUUUGAGUGUGUGUUACCACAAGAAAGCCUUAAACCUGCUCAAUCUUACCCCUGUUGCUCUGGGCAUAGCCUCGACACCGGAGAACCCAGGCGAGCUCUGCGACCAAUGUGGCCGGUACGGCUGUGUGAUAGAUUUGUGUUACAAUGACCAUAGUCUCGCUCGUCUCAUUCUUACCCCCACAGGAGUUGACCAAGGUGUGGUCCGAGUUCCAGUUGAAGGAGAGGCAGUGUCUAGCGGUUGCUGUGAGACAUCCCAACAAACCACUGGAUGUCCAUUGGACAUCCGAUAGGUAUCCGCUCAAGAUAUUCGGACGUCCCCAGGAGAUCCGUAGCCGUCCGACGGACGUCCCCAGGAUAUCCGUCAGAGUGCCAAAGGUAACAAAUUUGCAUGUCCGUCGGACAUCCGAAAUGGGAUCCUUCUGCAGGCCAAUUUUGGAUAUUCGGAUGGCUUGCCUGAAUUCAUUCUACUUUAGCCCAGAUAUGUUGUAAACCAGUCAAAACACUAACCUGAGCCAAUUUCUACAGGGUAGAAUUUCUUCGGAUAUC
rnacentral:lncRNA from 1 species